AUUGAACGCUGGCGGCAGGCCUAACACAUGCAAGUCGAACGAGUGGCGGACGUGUGAGUAAUGUCUGUGAAACUGCCAGAUGGAGGGGGAUAACUACUGGACACGGUCGCUACUACCGCAUACCAUCGGAUGUGCCCCGAUGGGAUUAGAUAGGAGGUGGGGUAAUGGCUCACCUAGGCGACGAACCGUAGGUGGUCUGAGCUGAUGACCAGCCACACUGGAACUGAGACACGGUCCAGACUCCUACGGGAGGCAGCAGGGGGGAAUAUUGCACUAUGGGCGCAAGCCUGAUGCAGCCAUGCCGCGUGUAUGAAGAAGGCCUUCGGGUUGUAAAGUACUUUCAGCGAGGAGGCGUUACUAGCAGAAGAAGCACCGGCUAACUCCGUGCCAGCAGCCGCGGUAAUUC
rnacentral:rRNA from 1 species